AGACUUAGGAUAGCUAGACCAAAGGCCUUCAAAGCCUUAAGCAGAAGUUUAACCCUUCUAGUCUUUG
rnacentral:tRNA from 1 species